GGGGGUCGCGGCUGAUUAGCUAGUUGGCGGGGUAAUGGCCCACCAAGGCAGUGAUCAGUAGCCGGCCUGAGAGGGCGCACGGCCACACUGGAACUGAAACACGGUCCAGACUCCUACGGGAGGCAGCAGUGGGGAAUUUUGCGCAAUGGGGGAAACCCUGACGCAGCAACGCCGCGUGGAGGAUGAAGCCCCUUGGGGUGUAAACUCCUUUCGAUCGGGACGAUUAUGACGGUACCGGAUGAAGAAGCACCGGCUAACUCUGUGCCAGCAGCCGCGGUAAUACAGAGGGUGCAAGCGUUGUUCGGAAUUAUUGGGCGUAAAGGGUGCGUAGGCGGUGCGGUAAGUCUUCUGUGAGACCUCCGGGCUUAACUCGGAGCCUGCAGGGGAAACUGCCGUGCUGGAGUAUGGGA
rnacentral:rRNA from 1 species